rnacentral:rRNA from 1 species
AGCGAACGCUGGCGGCAGGCCUAACACAUGCAAGUCGAGCGCUCAUCUUCGGAUGGGAGCGGCGCACGGGUGAGUAACACGUGGGAACCUACCUUGAAGUAUGGAAUAACUGAGGGAAACUUCAGCUAAUACCGUAUACGCCCUACGGGGGAAAGAUUUAUCGCUUCAAGACGGGCCCGCAUUGGAUUGGCUAGUUGGUGUGGUAAUGGCUCACCAAGGCGACGAUCCAUAGCUGAUUUGAGAGAAUGAUCAGCCACACUGGGACUGAGACACGGCCCAGACUCCUACGGGAGGCAGCAGUGGGGAAUAUUGGACAAUGGGCGCAAGCCUGAUCCAGCCAUGCCGCGUGAGUGAUGAAGGCCUUCGGGUUGUAAAGCUCUUUCAGAUGGGACGAUGAUGACGGUACCAUCAGAAGAAGCCCCGGCUAACUUCGUGCCAGCAGCCGCGGUAAUACGAAGGGGGCUAGCGUUGUUCGGAAUUACUGGGCGUAAAGCGCGCGUAGGCGGCUUUGUCAGUCAGGGGUGAAAUCCCGGGGCUUAACCUCGGAACUGCCUUUGAUACUGCAAGGCUUGAGUCUGUGAGAGGAUGGCGGAAUACCCAGUGUAGAGGUGAAAUUCGU